rnacentral:rRNA from 1 species
UACGAAGGGGGCUAGCGUUGCUCGGAAUCACUGGGCGUAAAGGGUGCGUAGGCGGGUCUUUAAGUCAGGGGUGAAAUCCUGGAGCUCAACUCCAGAACUGCCUUUGAUACUGAAGAUCUUGAGUCCGGGAGAGGUGAGUGGAACUGCGAGUGUAGAGGUGAAAUUCGUAGAUAUUAGGAAGAACACCAGUGGCGAAGGCGGCUCACUGGAUCGGUACUGACGCUGAGGUGCGAAAGCGUGGGGAGCAAACAGG